rnacentral:tRNA from 1 species
GCCUUCGAGGUGUAAAGGUCAGCACACUGAGCCGGUAUUUCAGAGGUCCGUGGUUCGAUCCCCGGCGAAGGAA